CCUUUGCCUGGGCUCUAGUAAUAACCGGACAAGAAACACACUCCUGGUCAUUAGCAUUAGCAGUAUUAUUGGUGUUAGCAUCAACAUUAUCAGUCCCAGCAAUUUCAUCAAUCUCCCCUUUCUGUAGCAAACACAUCAACACUGGCAAGUCCCUCCCCAAAAGAAGGUCCACAGGCAGAUUAUCUACCACCCCAACAGUCAGAAAAUAAGGCUGCUCAUCGAUUAACACAGUUAUUUCAGUCUGAGGUUGGUUCCAGCUCAUUUCUGGUCCCUGUGCUGGUGAUACCUGGAGGAUGUCGUACUGUUGCUCCCCGUUGUGUCCAGACCUGCGAUAUCGGAAGGGCUGGAGGCCGUACGUUGGUGGUGGGUCGAGCCAAGGUGGUUGUACGUGUAGAUGGUCCUCCUCUGCGUGCAUUGAGGACGCGAAGAAGUUGCUCCAGGAUGAUGGCCUCCCCGAUCUGCUCUUUGGUCCGUUGCUCCGGCUGAAUCCAACGGCGGUAGAGUCCUUUUAAGCGGUGAUAUGUCUCAGUGGGCGUUUCUCCAUGUGGCACAGAUGCACAGCGAAACUCUUGUCUGUAUGUCUCUGGUGAUAUGUCAAACUUGCUCAAUAAAGCUUCUUUCAGGUC